AUCUACUUUAAGAGCAAGAUGCUUGCUGAGUAUUUGAAGGGCCAGACCAGAGUCCACGUGAAAGAACUGGGCAUGGUUUUAGGAAUCGAGUCCAGCGACCUCCCCUUGCUAGCUGCCGUGGCCAGCACUCACUCCCCCUAUGUUGCCCAGAUCUUACUAUGAAACAGUACUGGCACUGAGGUCUCCAACAGUUCGCUUCCUGGGGAGGUCGGUCAGAGCUGUGCGGUGCCACCCGGCCCCAGAAACGGGCCGUCCACGCUCUGCUGCUGACUCUCUACAUGGUUUCCUGACCCGCGUGUCUGUGUGGCACAGGUCUUUAUGGACCACAGCCAGAGCUGACGCUUAAACUCAUUGCUGCUAUUUCAGAGCAAUGAUGACGUUGAACCACAGGGUGGAGUUGGAGACCACAGACCCAGAGAUGGAGCGAGGCACUGCGGAUGAAUGGAAACAUCCCUGAGAUGACCUUCUCCUGUCGUUGUUUGAAUGUUUUUAAAUAGGACUCUUUCAUUUUAGGACACAAAAGCCAAAGACUUUAAUUUUAUUUUUCAGCUGAAAAUGAAAAUCUAAGGGUGUCUAUAGUGUAAUAACAAUGGAUUUGUUUCUUCAUCUGCUUUCUCCCCCCCUGUACAAUCUUAAACCUGGUCAUACGAAGUGAUGAAUAACAUGUUUAAAUGAAGCAGGCGGAUGAUUUUAAACUUUCCUUUGAGGUAAAUAUCACUUGGAAGAGAACUUUAUCAAUCUCAUGCCAAUUAAGUCUUUUUGUUUAUCGUCAGGACUUUGUUUACAGGCCAAAUUUCCCUGAGUUAGAUCAAAAGAUUUUGCUUUUUGUCAAACUGCAGUGCCCACCUGACUUUUUGUUUUGUUUUUGCAAACUUGUUUUGAAAUGGCGAAUUAAGUGGCUAUGACAUUCUUAUCACAGGUACAGCACUACCUCAGAUCUUCAUAUGGGCAUGUGGCUAACCAUGUACAGCCGCCCCAUAGAAAACCCUGAGGUACUUUCUAAGCUAUUUUAAUCAUAGGAAUGUCAACUGUGCAGACUCUAUGCUGUGUUCUCAUAAAAUUUAAAAAAAAAAGGGAAAGGCUGUGUAAUUCCUUAAGAUGAUUGAUUCACACAAAAAAGGAAGAAACUUAUUUUUGCGUCAGAAUGUGAUUAAAUGGGGUCCCUUUAUACUGUGGAAAAGCUAAACCAUGCAUUAUCUACAUCUAUUUUACAACCAAAAAAGAAAAAAUGCUGAAAUAUUUUCACACUUUUAUAGCUUUGCGACCUUUAUACGAUGUUUACGGCGUUGAUGUUUGCUGCAAUGAGAGGAAUAGAGGAACACAGUAGGCCUUAUAGUGGAUAUGUAUAUGUCAGCUGACACUAUUCUCAAGGUUGUUUCUAUUACAGUUAGACUCACAAAAUACAAAACUAUAGUAGGACACGUUUUCCUUUUGUUUUCUUGGCAUUGACAGAUUUUGGUUGUUAUGCAGUACAAGCAGGGUGCGAUUUGUUGAGAGUAAAAAUGCAGGCUUAGAUUUUGUGGAAUCUGGGACACUCUUUCUUUUUUUUUUUUUUUUUUUUUUUUUUUUUAAAUAAAUCUUGAAUUGAUGGGAAAAUGUUAACAUGUUCACAAACUGCCCGAAUCAGAGAGAGCUUCACAUAUUUUCUAACUAUAGCGUACUUUUUAUCCAGCACCUUGGAGGCAGUGGGACAAUUUUUGAACUUCUGCAAAUCUCUAAGAUGAAAAUAUUGUUUGAGCUUGUUAAUGGAAGCGCAGUCUAACUGCAUUCUCUGAAAGCAGCACUCUAACCCUGGGAAUUCCACAGUGUGUGUGUGUGUGUGUGUGUGUGUGUGUGUGUGUGUGUGUGUGUGUGUGUGUUUGUUCAGCCCAAAUCGCACCCUGGGUAUAACCCAAGUCUUAACGGAAAAGUGGCAUAAAUGUAUCGCAGGCUUCUGGAGAGCUCGUUUUUGCUGUUAUAAUUGAUAUAUACAAAUAUGCUUGUUACUGUAUUUGAAGAUACUCCGCUAUAUCAGCCUACUUUUUUUUUUUUUUUUUUUUUUUGUACAAACCAGCCAUUAUGUUUAAAGGGUAUGGAUUUAUAUCUCCUUUUCCCUCUUUAUAUAUGGAUAAAUUAUUUAGUUGCCUGUGUUUAAGUGUAACGGUUUGUGUAAACUGUACAUAUUCAAGUUUAUUUCCAUGUAUUUGUACAGAAUGUCUUUUAAAAAAUUGUCUCCUCGAAUUUAUUCUUUUCCCAAUUUUAUGGGAACGUUGUGCAAUAAAGAUGCUGAUGAUGAAAAUUUCCGUGCCUCUCUGGGAAAGUUUUUCUGUCUCCGAAUUUAACGGACAGUUAGUUGACAUGACCCCGUGUUUUUGGUUGGUUUACAAGACAUUACAAAGUGGCUUUCUGUCAAACCACAAGCCUUUGAGUCACUGGCGCAGCUCCAGC
ensembl:lncRNA